rnacentral:rRNA from 1 species
UGCAAGUCGAGCGGGGGAAGGUAGCUUGCUACUGGACCUAGCGCGGACGGGUGAUGAGUAAUGUUUAGGAAUCUGCCUAUUAGUGGGGGACAAACAUCUCGAAAGGGAUGCUAAUACCGCGCAUACGUCCUACGGGAGAAAGCAGGGGAUCUUCGGACCUUGCGCUAAUAGAUGAGCCUAAGUAGGAUUAGCUAGUUGGUGGGGUAAAGGCCUACCAAGGCGACGAUCUGUAGCGGGUCUGAGAGGAUGAUCCGCCACACUGGGACUGAGACACGGCCCAGACUCCUACGGGAGGCAGCAGCAGUGGGGAAUAUUGGACAAUGGGGGGAACCCUGAUCCAGCCAUGCCGCGUGUGUGAAGAAGAAGGCCUUAUGGUUGUAAAGCACUUUAAGCGAGGAGGAGGCUACUCAGUUAAUACCUAGAGAUAAUAGUGGACGUUACUCGCAGAAUAAGCACCGGCUAACUCUGUGUCCAGCAGCCGCGGUAAUACAGAGGGUCCGAGCGUUAAUCGGAUUUACUUUCGUAAAGCGUGCGUAGGCGGCUUAUUAUUAAGUCGGAUGUGAAAUCCCCGAGCUUAACUUGGGAUUGCAUUCGAUACUGGUGACCUACUAGAGUAUGGGAGAGGAUGGUAGAAUUCCAGGUGUAGCGGUGAAAUGCGUAGAGAUCUGGAGGAGGAAUACCGAUGGCGAAGGCAGCCAUCUGGCCUAAUACUGACGCUGAGGUACGAAAGCAUGGGGGGGAGCAAACAGGAUUAGAUACCCUGGUAGUCCAUGCCGUAAACGAUGUCUACUAGCCGUCGUUGGGGCCUUUGAGGCUUUAGUGGCGCAUGCUAACGACGAUAAGUAGACCGCCUGGGGAGUACGGCGGUCGCAAGACUAAACUCAAAUGAAUUGACGGGGGCCCGCACAAGCGGUGGAGCAUGUGGUGGUUUAAUUCGAUGCAACGCGAAGAACCUUACCUGGCCUUGACUACUAGAAACUUUCCAGCGAUAUGGAUUGGUGCCUUCGGGAAUCUAGAUACAGGUGCUGCAUGGCUCAGCUCGUGUCGUGGUGAGAUGUUCCCUUAAGUCCCGCAACGAGCGCAACCCUUUUCCUUACUUGCCAGCAUUUCGGAUGGGAACUUUAAGGAUACUGCCAUGGACAAACUGGAGGAAGGCGGGGACGACGUCGUCAAGUCAUCAUGGCCCUUACGGCCAGGGCUACACACGUGCUACAAUGGUCGGUACAAAGGACCGUUGCUACACAGCGAUGUGAUGCUAAUCUCAAAAGCCGAUCGUAGUCCGGAUUGGAGUCUUCUGCAACUCGACUCCAUGAAGUCGGAAUCGCUAGUAAUCGCGGAUCAGCCUGCCCGCGGUGAAUACGUUCCCGGGCCCGUACACACCGCCCCGUCACACCAUGGGAGUUUGUUGCACCAGAAGAAGUAGCUGGCCUAACUGCAAAGAGGGCGGUUACCACGGUGUGGCCGAUGACUGGGGUGAA